rnacentral:pre_miRNA from 1 species
ACUGAUGUAGAACAAGGCAUGCGCAAACAACCGCGCGUCUUGUUCUACUCACC